rnacentral:RNase_MRP_RNA from 9 species
GUCCGUGCCGAAGGCCUGUUUCCUAGGCUACAUACGGGGGACUGGUUCCUGACAAGUGCCUAGGGGAAAGUCCCCGGACCGCGGGCAGAGAGUGCCGCGUGCGCGCGCACGCAGGGCCGCCCGCCCGUCACUGUCUAGGCCGCCGAGACGCGACCCCACGGCGGGGAGCCGAGCGGCGUGCGGCGGGCGGCCGUCCGUCAGCUCCUCCAGUUACGCAGGCAGUGCGCCUUCGCGCGCCAACCACACGGGGCUCAUUCUCGGCGCGGC